rnacentral:rRNA from 1 species
AGUUUGAUCCUGGCUCAGGAUGAACGCUAGCGGGAGGCUUAACACAUGCAAGUCGAGGGGUAUAAUUAGCAAUAGUUAGAGACCGGCGCACGGGUGAGUAACGCGUAUGCAACCUGCCCUUUACCGGGGGAUAGCCCGUAGAAAUGCGGAUUAAUACCCCAUAGGUCUGUCAGAUCGCAUGGUUUGACAGAUAAAGCUGAGGUGGUAAAGGAUGGGCAUGCGUGACAUUAGCUUGUUGGUGAGGUAACGGCUCACCAAGGCUGCGAUGUCUAGGGGUUCUGAGAGGAAGAUCCCCCACACUGGUACUGAGACACGGACCAGACUCCUACGGGAGGCAGCAGUGAGGAAUAUUGGUCAAUGGGCGAGAGCCUGAACCAGCCAUCCCGCGUGCAGGAAGAAUGCCCUAUGGGUUGUAAACUGCUUUUUCGCAUGAAGAACAUCCCGAACGGGUUCGGGACUGACGGUAAUGCGUGAAUAAGCACCGGCUAACUCCGUGCCAGCAGCCGCGGUAAUACGGAGGGUGCAAGCGUUAUCCGGAUUUAUUGGGUUUAA